rnacentral:misc_RNA from 1 species
UCCCCGUUACCGGGGCAGUCUGACUAGAGAAAUACAACUAGCCAUAAGGGUUGCGCUCGUUGAAGGACUUAACCUAACAUCUCACGACACGAGCUGAAGACGGCCAUGCAACACCUGUCACUAGGUUCCCGAAGGCACUCUCGGCUUUCGCCAAAAUUCCUAGGAAGUCAAGCCUUGGUAAGGUUCUUCGCUUACCAUCGAAUUAAACAACACGCUCCACCGCUUGUGCGGCUCCCCGUCAAUUCCUUUGAGUUUUAGUCUUGCGACCGUACUCCCCAGGCGGAAUACUUAACGCGUUAGCUUCGCUACAUACCGGGUCGAUACGGCAUACAGCUAGUAUUCAUAGUUUACGGCGUGGACUAC